AUCCUCCUUAAAACAAAGAAAAUGCACCAAAGGGUUCAUCUGUCGUUAAAAACUCCACUCCAGUUUCAGUCCUAUAUAUCAAGUGAUAGCAAUGAGAUUCAUGAGCUCUAUUCCUGACCAGUGUCCUGCAUCUAGCACAGCCAAGUCAACAGCCCUGUCAAUCUGGUGAAAUGCAGGCACUGGACAAGUGGUGAUAUACAUUAUUUCCUAUUCACUUUUGUGUGUGUGUGUGUGUGUGUGUGUGCAAACACACAAACAAACACCUCACCAGUUUGUCUGCUUUCAUACAGAGCCAAUGGAAACUAUAUGGUACGCAUCUAUGAAGUCUCUGGGUUCAGAUGGGUUCCGGUCUUCUUCAUGUUUUUCAACGAUUUCUCCCACAAAGGAUUUCAGUUCUCCCCAGUUUCUUUUAACGGUCUGAUGGGGCCCUGGCAAGUGCUUCAUUAGAGUGGGAAAUGCAUUGUACAGCUGAGGAAACAAAUACUAGCAUCAGAUUUAUGUAGGGAAAGCCCUCUCAUAACAAUCGCAGAUCAUGCUACUAUCAAAGGAGAUAGCAAUCCAUGCGAUGGCUUCCCAUGAAGAUGGCUACCUGUUUGAAAAAUGCAUGCACCUUGCCUGACGAUAUCAGGAAAAUGAUGCCAAUGUAGCUUUCCCAUUUCAUGAUGCUUAUCUGCAUGGGGUGGCCUUUCACAGAUUCUAAUUGGUAGGUGGAGAGUAUGGAAUUAAGCCGUGUAUGUCACUUGGGAUUGCAUCUCUGUGUUCAUUGCAAGACAUGCUCUGGAUCUUAAGUCCUGCUUUUGAACACCACUCAAUACCCAGUGUUAUUUAGCUACAUAAAUAUUCCAGCACAGUGUGAGAAUGUUCCCAAUAUGGAAAAUAAAACUAACUAGCCUUCUCAUGA